UCCCUAAAUCGUUCAAUCGAUCUUCUUGACUUCUUCUACGUACGCGCAGCAAACCACAAACACAAUAUGUUCAAAUCCCUAAAUCCCUAAAUCGUGAUCUUCUUCUUCUCUUUGAAAUCCCAAAUCCCUAAAUCGUGUUCUUCUUCUUCUCUUUACCCCAAAUCGUGUUCUUCUUCUACUCUUUGAAACCCCAAAUCGUGUUUUUCUUCUUGGAUAUGUUCUUCAUUCUUCGUUCUUCUUGAAACCGGCCAACCUAUUCGUUCUUCCUCAAAUCGUGUUCUCAUUCUUCAUUUUCGUUUUCUGGAAACCGGCCAACCCCAAAUCGUGUUCUCAGGUAUUUAUCUUCGUUCUAAUUUCUCUUUUUAGGGUUUAUGCAAUUGGGGUUUUCGUAUCCCAUUAUGCGAUUGAUUCUUUGAAAUCGAAUAUCUCUUGAUCGAUGGAUAGAGUUUUGUUGCAGGAAAGCAAUGUUGAGGGAGGUAAGCAGAAACAUGUUGAAGAUGAUCUCGUGGAUCUUAAAUCGGGAUAGAAAUGUUUUGAAAGAGGCAAGCGGCUGAAAUCGGAAUGGAAACGUGUUGAAAGAGGUAAGCAGCUGAAAUUGGAACGGAUAUCGGGUGGCAAUUUGUGUUUUGAGACUUUUGUUCAUGUCAUUUGUUUAUAUCAUAAACAUAGUAUAAACAAGUGUAACAAGAGAGUGCAAUGUUGUUGUGAUGUUACUGCGGAGACUGCAAAAUUUGUAUAUUUUGCGGUCUACAAAGUAAUAAGAGAGUGAUGAGUAUCUAUUUUCUGAAAAACUGGUAUAUAGGUUUUGUGAUUUGUGUUAAGGAAUUUUUGUAUAUUGGUUGGAUUUAAUUUGUAAAGAGGGGAAAAAGAAAAUAAAUUAAAACAGAAGCAUAACUGGUAUAUAGCUUUUUCAGUUCUUGUUGGUGAACAUUCUAAAUGCUUACUUGAAAUGAUUAGGAAUUGAAACUGGGGAUUUAUAAAAAAGGGGUGAUUUGUUUCGGCAGAUUUUAACAGAUGAGGCAGUGGC
rnacentral:lncRNA from 1 species